UACGGAGGGGGCUAGCGUUGUUCGGAAUUACUGGGCGUAAAGCGCACGUAGGCGGUUUGUCGCGUCUGCUGUGAAAUCUGGGGGCUCAACCCCCAGCCUGCAGUGGGUACGGGCAGACUAGAGUGCGGUAGGGGAGAUUGGAAUUCCUGGUGUAGCGGUGGAAUGCGCAGAUAUCAGGAGGAACACCGAUGGCGAAGGCAGAUCUCUGGGCCGUAACUGACGCUGAGGAGCGAAAGCAUGGGGAGCGAACAGG
rnacentral:rRNA from 1 species